UCCCUGGUGGCUCAGACGGUAAAGCAUCUGCCUACAGUGCGGGAGACCUGGGUUCGAUCCCUAGGUUGGGAA
rfam:Ovis aries breed Texel chromosome 8, whole genome shotgun sequence.